GCCCUCGUAGCUCAAUGGAUAGAGCUCUUGUCUUCGGAACAAGCGGUUGGCGGUUCGAGCCCGUCCGAGGGCG
rnacentral:tRNA from 1 species